rnacentral:rRNA from 1 species
CCUGGUGGUCAUAGCGAGGAGACAUCACCCGAUCCCAUUCCGAACUCGGCCGUUAAACUCCUCAGCGCCGAUGGUACUGCGUCUUAAGGCGUGGGAGAGUAGGUCGCUGCCAGGC